rnacentral:misc_RNA from 1 species
UCCGGUUUAACACCGGCAGUCCCGCUAGAGUGCUCAGCAUUACCUGAUGGCAACUAACGGCAGGGGUUUCGCUCGUUAAGGGACUUAACCCGACACUUCACAGCACGAGCUGACGACAGCCAUGCAGCACCUGUGUACGUUCCACGGCAAGCCGCGUUACUCCUCUUUCAAGGAGCUAAUCCGUACAUGUCAAGCCCAGGAUAAGGUUCUUCGCGUUGCUUCGAAUUGAGCCACAUGCUCCACCGCUUGUGUGAGCCCCCGUCAAUUCCUUUGAGUUUUAGCCUUGCGACCGUACUCCCCAGGCGGUGCACUUAGUGAUUUUUCUACGACCCGGGUGGCGUCAGAGCCUCCCUGAUCUAGUGCACAUCGUUUACAGCGUGGACUAC